ACGAGCGGCUGGACAGAAGGACCUCCACGGCGCUCACCAGGUCGCCCCCGCAGCCCUUCAGGAUCAGCUCCAGCACCGUCGGCUUCUGGCAGACUUUGUGGUACAUGUGUCUUGUGAACCGGUCGUGUAUUUCAUCAGGUUACCAUGUACAAUAAUUAGUCAAUAUCAUUUCCAAAGUGAAAGAAAGGAGCCACGAUACAUUGAAAUCUUUCUUUAAAAGCCACUGGAGGGACUGACAGACUGGAAGCAGAGGCAAGGCAAAACCAGCUGUGAAUUCCGGACAGCGAGGCAGGUUGCAUGAAAGAAGGAAAUGGCUGAAGAGCUUUGUCGAACUGCACAGGGUUCAUGACCCAUCAAUGAAACAGUGCGCCCAUAACUCCAGGACCACAGAGUGCAAGAGCACCGAGUAUUUGUAUCCCUGUAAUAUGCAAGACGCCGAGGGACAUAGAAAAAAGGGAGUGAAAAAUACCAGGAAGUAUAAGAUUUGUCCCUGACUGGAGGAACUUACGAUCUAGCUGAGCAGAUAAAAGGCAUGUGCAGGAAGAAAAGCAAACACAGCCAGACAGAACUUGCUUAGUAUCAAAUAUGAUACUUACUGUACACAAACAUUCACAGUAGCAUUAUCUGCCAUAGCCCAAAGGUGGAAGGAGCCCAAAUGUCCACGGAAGGACGAAUAGGUAAAUAAAAUGUGGUGCAUACGUACAAUGCAGUAUUAUUCAGUCUCAAAAUGUAAUUCUAACACAUGCUACUGUGGGGAUGAGCCUUGAAAAUAUACUAAGUGAAAUAAGCCCGUCACAAAAGGACACAUAUUCUAUGGUUCCAUUUAUACGAGGUACCUGGAAUAGACAAAUUCAGAGAUAAAAAGUAGAAUGGGAGCAGCUGGGUGACUCGGUUAAGCAUCCGCAUUUGGCUCAGGUCGUGAUCUGAGCAUCCAACUUGCGUUCAAGUCAUGAUCUGAUGGCUCCUGAGUUCAAGCCCCCU